AGACCUUCGGGUCUAGCGGCGGACGGGUUAGUAACGCGUGGGAACGUGCCCUUCACUACGGAAUAGUCCCGGGAAACUGGGUUUAAUACCGUAUACGCCCUUUCGGGGGGAAAGAAUUUCGGUGAAGGAUCGGCCCGCGUCUGAUUAGAUAGUUGGUGGGGUAAUGGCCUACCAAGUCUACGAUCAGUAGCUGGUUUUAGAGGAUGAUCAGCAACACUGGGACUGAGACACGGCCCAGACUCCUACGGGAGGCAGCAGUGGGGAAUCUUGGACAAUGGGCGCAAGCCUGAUCCAGCCAUGCCGCGUGUGUGAUGAAGGCCUUAGGGUCGUAAAGCACUUUCGCCUGUGAUGAUAAUGACAGUAGCAGGUAAAGAAACCCCGGCUAACUCCGUGCCAGCAGCCGCGGUAAUACGGAGGGGGUUAGCGUUGUUCGGAAUUACUGGGCGUAAAGCGCGCGUAGGCGGACAUUUAAGUCAGAGGUGAAAUCCCGGGGCUCAACCCCGGAACGGCCCUUGAUACUGGGUGUCUUGAGUUCGAGAGAGGUGAGUGGAAUUCCGAGUGUAGAGGUGAAAUUCGUAGAUAUUCGGAGGAACACCAGUGGCGAAGGCGGCUCACUGGCUCGAUACUGACGCUGAGGUGCGAAAGUGUGGGGAGCAAACAGGAUUAGAUACCCUGGUAGUCCACACCGUAAACGAUGAAU
rnacentral:rRNA from 1 species